GUGAAAGGUCUGCUUUCGUUCAUCCACACUCUCAGCUCUCUCUCUCUCGCUCACCCAGUCACACACUCUCUACGCACACACACACACACACAUCCAUUCACACACUGUCACACACACCUUACUCCCUCUCUCACUCACACUCGCUCUGAGUGGAAGCCGGGAAACGAUUUCUUAACAAGAGUGGGAGAGAGAGAGAGAGAGAGAGAGAGAGAGAUGGAAGAAAGACAGAAGAAUUAAAUCAGCUGUAGAGAGAAGAGACAGACUUUCAGAAGAAGCUGCAGCAGAUACCACAACCUCCAGAAACCUCUAGGAACAUCUAGGAACCUCUAGGAACCUCCAGGAACUCUGGCUCCUGACAGCCUCAGGAAAGUGAAAUUGUCACCCUAGCAACAAGUCCUGAUGCUGCCGUCUUACUAUUCGCCACAUUUCCUCCUGCAAACAGCGCUCAGCGAUUCCCCCAAAGGACACCACAAACCAGAUGUUUGCAGCAGAUAUUUGAAUCAUCCACUAUCGACAGCUGCUGUGUACCAGUGUGCCCGUGCCCACCGACCGCGUGGUCGUCCCCUGCCUGCUGAGAGUUCCUGAGUGUGUUCCUUCGUGCUACCCUU
rnacentral:lncRNA from 1 species